rnacentral:rRNA from 1 species
UACAGAGGGUGCGAGCGUUGUCCGGAAUCACUGGGCGUAAAGGGCGCGUAGGUGGCGCUCCAAGUCUGUGGUGAAAGCUCGAUGCUCAACAUCGAGUCGGCCAUAGAGACUGGAGGGCUCGAGCACUGUAGGGGCAGAUGGAAUUCCGGGUGUAGCGGUGGAAUGCGUAGAGAUCCGGAGGAACACCAGAGGCGAAGGCGGCAACCUGGCACGUUACUGACGCUCAUACACGACAGCAUGGGGAGCGAACGGG